rnacentral:rRNA from 1 species
UACGUAGGGCGCAAGCGUUAUCCGGAAUUAUUGGGUGUAAAGAGCUCGUAGGCGGUUUGUCGCGUCUGCCGUGAAAGUCCGGGGCUCAACUCCGGAUCUGCGGUGGGUACGGGCAGACUAGAGUGAUGUAGGGGAGACUGGAAUUCCUGGUGUAGCGGUGAAAUGCGCAGAUAUCAGGAGGAACACCGAUGGCGAAGGCAGGUCUCUGGGCAUUAACUGACGCUGAGGAGCGAAAGCAUGGGGGAGCGAACAGG